rnacentral:piRNA from 1 species
CGACAAGAAGUCCCGUAUGAUGAGCAC